rnacentral:rRNA from 1 species
ACGUACACUCCUACGGGAGGCAGCAGUGGGGAAUAUUGGACAAUGGGCGCAAGCCUGAUCCAGCCAUGCCGCGUGAGUGAUGAAGGCCCUAGGGUUGUAAGGCUCUUUCACCGGAGAAGAUAAUGACGGUAUCCGGAGAAGAAGCCCCGGCUAACUUCGUGCCAGCAGCCGCGGUAAUACGAAGGGGGCUAGCGUUGUUCGGAAUUACUGGGCGUAAAGCGCACGUAGGCGGAUCGAUCAGUCAGGGGUGAAAUCCCAGGGCUCAACCCUGGAACUGCCUUUGAUACUGUCGAUCUGGAGUAUGGAAGAGGUGAGUGGAAUUCCGAGUGUAGAGGUGAAAUUCGUAGAUAUUCGGAGGAACACCAGUGGCGAAGGCGGCUCACUGGUCCAUUACUGACGCUGAGGUGCGAAAGCGUGGGGAGCAAACAGGAUUAGAAACCCUUGUAGUCCCAUGAU